rnacentral:rRNA from 1 species
UACGUAGGGUGCGAGCGUUGUCCGGAAUUAUUGGGCGUAAAGGGUGCGUAGGCGGCGCGGUAAGUCGGGUGUGAAAUCUCGGGGCUUAACUCCGAAACUGCAUUCGAUACUGCCGUGCUUGAGGACUGGAGAGGAGACUGGAAUUUACGGUGUAGCGGUGAAAUGCGUAGAUAUCGUAAGGAAGACCAGUGGCGAAGGCGGGUCUCUGGACAGUUCCUGACGCUGAGGCACGAAGGCCAGGGGAGCAAACAGG